GACAGAGGGUGCAAACGUUGUUCGGAAUUACUGGGCGUAAAGCGCGUGUAGGCGGUUCGGAAAGUCGGAUGUGAAAGCCCUGGGCUCAACCCAGGAAGUGCAUUCGAAACUCCCGAACUGGAGUCCUGGAGAGGAAGGCGGAAUUCUCGGUGUAGAGGUGAAAUUCGUAGAUAUCGAGAGGAACAUCGGUGGCGAAGGCGGCCUUCUGGACAGCGACUGACGCUGAGACGCGAAAGCGUGGGGAGCAAACAGG
rnacentral:rRNA from 1 species